UACGUAGGGGGCUAGCGUUGUCCGGAUUUAUUGGGCGUAAAGAGCGUGUAGGCGGCCAAGUAGGUCCGGUGUGAAAACUCGAGGCUUAACCUCGAGAUGUCAUCGGAAACCAUUUGGCUAGAGUCCGGAAGAGGAAAGUGGAAUUCCUGGUGUAGCGGUGAAAUGCGCAGAUAUCAGGAAGAACACCAAUGGCGAAAGCAGCUCACUACGCGAAUAUUGACACUGAGGCACGAAAGCGUGGGGAUCAAACAGG
rnacentral:rRNA from 1 species